UCCGCAACUGGGAAUUUUCCGCAAUGGGCGCAAGCCUGACGGAGCAAGACCGCGUGGGGGAGGAAGGCUCUUGGGUUGUAAACCCCUUUUCUCAAGGAAGAACACAAUGACGGUACUUGAGGAAUAAGCCUCGGCUAACUCCGUGCCAGCAGCCGCGGUAAUACGGAGGAGGCAAGCGUUAUCCGGAAUGAUUGGGCGUAAAGCGUCCGUAGGUGGCUGUUCAAGUCUGCUGUCAAAGACAGUGGCUUAACUACUGAAAGGCAGUGGAAACUGAACAGCUAGAGUACGGUAGGGGCAGAGGGAAUUCCCGGUGUAGCGGUGAAAUGCGUAGAUAUCGGGAAGAACACCGGUGGCGAAAGCGCUCUGCUGGGCCGUAACUGACACUGAGGGACGAAAGCUAGGGGAGCGAAAGGGAUUAGAUACCCCAGUAGUCAAA
rnacentral:rRNA from 2 species